AGUGAGCGGCAAAAGCUCAAAUUUGGAAUCUCAGUCUUUCAGGCUGCGAGUUGUAAUUUGAAGACGUAUUUUGAGGGAGCACAUGUCGAAGUUCCUUGGGCAGGACGUCACAGAGGGUGAGAAUCCCGUGCGAUGUGUUCACUGCUUCUGUAAAAUGCGGGCGACAUCAAUUAUUUGGGAAU
rnacentral:rRNA from 1 species